rnacentral:rRNA from 1 species
CGGGCUCAAACGCAGGAGGGAUACUUUUGAAAGGAGGUAGCCUUCGGGCCUCCUGCGAGGUGCUGCAUGGUUGUCGUCAGCUCGUGCCGUGAGGUGUCGGCUUAAGUGCCAUAACGAGCGCAACCCCCACCGACAGUUGCCAUCAGGUCGAGCUGGGCACUCUGUCGGGACUGCCGGCGCAAGCUGCGAGGAAGGCGGGGAUGACGUCAAAUCAGCACGGCCCUUACGUCCGGGGCGACACACGUGUUACAAUGGCAGGUACAGAGAGAAGCCACCCGGCGACGGGGAGCGGAACUACAAAGCCUGUCUCAGUUCGGAUCGGAGUCUGCAACCCGACUCCGUGAAGCUGGAUUCGCUAGUAAUCGCGCAUCAGCCACGGCGCGGUGAAUACGUUCCCGGGCC